UACGUAGGGUGCGAGCGUUAAUCGGAAUUACUGGGCGUAGAGCGUGCGCAGGCGGUUUUGUAAGCCAGAUGUGAAAUCCCCGGGCUCAACCUGGGAAUGGCAUUUGGGACUGCAAGGCUGGAGUACGGCAGAGGAGACUGGAAUUCCUGGUGUAGCAGUGAAAUGCGUAGAGAUCAGGAGGAAUACCGAUGGCGAAGGCAGGUCUCUGGGCUGAUACUGACGCUCAUGCACGAAAGCGUGGGGAGCAAACAGG
rnacentral:rRNA from 1 species